rnacentral:rRNA from 1 species
CAGCAGCCGCGGUAAUACAGAGGGUGCGAGCGUUAAUCGGAUUUACUGGGCGUAAAGCGUGCGUAGGCGGCUUUUUAAGUCGGAUGUGAAAUCCCUGAGCUUAACUUAGGAAUUGCAUUCGAUACUGGGAAGCUAGAGUAUGGGAUAGGAUGGUAGAAUUCCAGGUGUAGCGGUGAAAUGCGUAGAGAUCUGGAGGAAUACCGAUGGCGAAGGCAGCCAUCUGGCCUAAUACUGACGCUGAGGUACGAAAGCAUGGGGAGCAAACAGGAUUAGAUACCCGGGUAGUCCCUGUCUCUUAUAC